GGGCCUGUAGCUCAGUUGGCUAGAGCGCACCCCUGAUAAGGGUGAGGUCGUUAGUUCAAUUCUAACCAGGCCCACCA
rnacentral:tRNA from 1 species